rnacentral:lncRNA from 1 species
AUUUCGAUCUUCAAACACUCAACAUCAGCCAAAAUUAUAGUGGAUUCGGUCGACGUGGCAGGAUCACACAGAUCCUGGCGUUGUAUUGGAGUAUAUUCGAGUGAAUUUAACCCAUCAACGUUGGCUAAUGUAUUCCUGAACCAAGUGCUAAAUUGCAAUAACAAAAAUUAGAUACACGUUUAUUAAAUAUUAAGUAAAAGUUAAAUACAAAUUUAAACCUCAAAGAUAAUAAUUUAAAACACAAACUCAAUAAAACGUGAACAACAUUUAAGUAAACAAAAAAAACAAUUUACGGAAAAUUUAACAAUUAAUAAAUACAUUAAUCUACGAAGCCUAAGUUUUAAAAACAAACAGCAAUAAGUAUACAUUUUCAAGAUUAUUGAACGAAAGUCAGUUCCAAGGACAAUGCUCCAGAAUCAAAUCAUACUGUGUUCUAAAGAAAAUAAAAGAGAAUUUAAAUCUAAUAUACUAUUUUUCCAUUUACAGGAUCUCUUUAAUUAUCAAAAGGAGGGUACGCUAAACACGAUCAAUUGAAACUCAACAAAACAUCUCAACUUCGUUAUAUUAAAAUUUCAAUUCUUCACACAUACAUCGUACAAAAUCCGUUUUGACUAUUUCCCAUUAACUUUGAAGCAUCAUACAACAACUCUCACAAAUGAGUUUGAACUUAAGAUGAAGAAUUUGACUCACAUUUGGUAGCAAAACGAAAGAAAUAUUAAGAUACUCUCACUCGCCGCAUAUAAAGCCGAAGAAGUGUGGCUUUUUCGGGGAAAUGCGCAGGAGAAACGGCGGAGAACCAGAUAAAAUCCAUGCAAAGAUAAAUUACCCCGUCCGUAUACAACUACUACUGCAAUUCCAUAUAGACGCAAGAUGCUAUUUUCUCCUGUAAAGUACACUCAAGAGAACAGAGAUAAAGGCAUUACCCCAGCUUGUAGGCAGAUCUCUUCAACCCCGUGAACAACAGCAGCAAUACUUUUAAGAAUCAACAUCAACUCUCUCACCAACACAACUUCCAAUUCGAACAAAAGCCAACGAAACAAAUGUUGUGCUUCGUAAUAUGGUUGAAAUGCAAUGCAUAGAUUUUGGAUAGUUUUGGCUAGUGUUUUGGCUGUGACUAAAUUGCUACCGGUUAAUUCGCAUUGCAUAUAAAUUUAACAGCGUGAUAGAUAUAAAUAUUAACAUAACACGGAAAUCCAAAAUUGAGACUUUUCCAAAUUCAUCGAUCGUAGCGGCUACGCACUUAUCUUUGGCAUUUGAAUAUUAAAAAGAUUCCAAAUUCAAUAAAUCAAAGCACGAAUGUGUGAUAACGUAACGUCUUCGAGUAUAUCUUACCCAAAGAAACAAAAAAACACAUUUUGAUUGCAAAUUUAACUCUUAAUUAAUUAUUCGAAGCAACAUUGAAUCCAUCUGGCGAAAAAUAAAAAUAAAUUCCUUUAAAUAAAUCUUAAUUAAACUGAAGAAAGCAACUCUGCAAAAAGCAACAAAAUUCACGGUCUUACAAAAAUUUAAAUUCACGCAUACUCGAAUAUCCAAAUUGUAAAAAAUAUUUGUAUACAACAAUGACUACCAAAAGCGACCUAUAAAACAAAAUUAAAGUGACAAUAAAGCGCACAUUAUUAUACAUAUUAACAGAGUCAUAAAUUACCCUAUGCGGCAGAACGGAAGUCGUUAUGCGACAAACGCAAGAAAUUUUCAAAUUCAUACUCCUCUAGCAUUAGUCAAGUACAAAGCUCAUUACAACUCCCCGGAAAACGCAAUAAAAAAUCCACUUUGGCAAGCAACUCGGCUCGACAAGACAAAGUCAUCUUAAAAUAGCAGCAAACAAAACAAAAUUCCAAAUAAGAAAACACUUUAUUUAGCAGUAAAUUUGAGUUCUUAAACCAGUUAAAUUUAUAAUCGAAAAUAUGGUAGACGCUGCUAUUCAAAAUGGUUGUGAAAUUGCGAGGUAUUGACUGAUAGGUCCAGAAAGACCAUCUUUUCAAAGACUGACAGAGUGGUUAAGCAUUAUGCAAUAUAUAAACGAAGUAUUUGAAUCAAAACUACAAAACUACCAUAUUGGGCGAUAGUCAAUCAACCGAAGACAAGCAAUCUGUAAAUGUCAAAAACUGAAAGUCUCAUUCAAUUACUUAACCAAGCGGAUAAGCAAAAAGCUCGUUUAUUCGGCCGAACUUUCAACACAAACGAGAAAAACUAUGAAAUUCAAAUCAAAAUCAACUUCUGAAUUACAUCAAACAACGAUGACUACCGCAUCUCUACACAAAUUUUAUCCUUCGUCAUAAUAUUAAAAUCAUUCAAAAAGAAAAUUCAACUUUGGCAACGUUCUUAAAUUGUGGUCAAAUUUCUUGAAGAAAAUCUGUAAAUCUGGAUUAAUAUACGGGCAUAUGUUUUGCUCACAAAUCGUCACACAUAUGCUAUACGGGCAUAUGUUUUACUCACAAAUCGUCACACAUAUGCAGAAGUUAAUAGCAUAGUAUAAAAAAUAGCAAAAACUACAACAUCAAAAACAAAUUGCAAUUCAAGCAAUUCCAUAAGUGUGGAAACAAAAGCGUAGUUGUGGCAAAAGAACCCUCAGAAAGAUAUUUACGACGAACUUUCAUCAAAUAAAUAAACAAGAAUAAAACAACACACGCCGCAGAUUGAAAUCAGGUUCACCGUCAGAAUAGCAGUCAAGCGGUUUUUAUGCAAUCUUUCAGAACCAAGUACUUACAAACGCACACACAAGCACAUA